rnacentral:rRNA from 1 species
ACUCAAAGGAAUUGACGGGGGCCCGCACAAGCGGUGGAGCAUGUGGUUUAAUUCGAUGCUACGCGAAGAACCUUACCUGGUUUUGACAUGCUUGGGAGCUUGCAGAGAUGUGAGUGUGCCUUCGGGAGCCAAGAGACAGGUGCUGCAUGGCUGUCGUCAGCUCGUGUCGUGAGAUGUUGGGUUAAGUCCCGUAACGAGCGCAACCCCUGUCCCUAGUUGCCAACGAGAGAGACGGGAACUCUAGGGAGACUGCCAGUGACAAGCUGGAGGAAGGUGGGGAUGAUGUCAAGUCAUCAUGGCCCUUAUGACCAGGGCUACACACGUGCUACAAUGGGCUGAACAAAGGGGAGCGAACCUGCGAAGGGGAGCGAAUCUCAAAAAACAGUUCGUAGUCCGGAUUGGAGUCUGCAACUCGACUCCAUGAAGUUGGAAUCGCUAGUAAUCGCGGAUCAGAAUGCCGCGGUGAAUACGUUCUCGGGCCUUGUACACACCGCCCGU